rnacentral:misc_RNA from 1 species
GAAAUGCGAUAAGUAAUGCGAAUUGCAGAAUUUCCGUGAGUCAUCGAAUCUUUGAACGCACAUUGCGCCCUUUGGUAUUCCGAAGGGCAUACCUGUUCGAGCGUCAUUAUCCUUCUCUCCACCCCCCGGGGUGUGGCAUUGGAGCCCAAGUCGGUAUUGAACCAACUGGCUCUCAAAAAUAAUGACGGCGUCCGUGGGACCCUCGAUACACCGAGCCCUUUCGAGAGCACGUGUCGAGUUGCAAGGACCCUCCGGGCCGGUCUGAACCCAAUCUAUUUUCUCAGGUUGACCUCGGAUCAGGUAGGAAUACCCGCUGAACUUAA